rfam:Halanaerobium kushneri strain ATCC 700103 genome assembly, contig: Ga0104713_140
GACAAGAAAAUAACCUAACCGAAGACAGUAGGGGCGUAAUGCUUAAAUUUCCUGCCGAGGGCAACUUUCUGCAAAUGUAAUUUUUGCAUUUAUACCUCCUGACUGUCUACAGGAGGUUUUUUCAAUUUAUAA